GUCCAGCUGACGAGUCCCGAAUAGGACGAAACGCGCGUCCUGGAU
rfam:Schistosoma mattheei strain Denwood, Zambia genome assembly, scaffold: SMTD_scaffold0019091